AACGAACGCUGGCGGCAUGCCUAACACAUGCAAGUCGAACGAAGGCUUCGGCGUUAGUGGCGCACGGGUGCGUAACGCGGGGGAAUCUGCCCUUUGGUUCGGAAUAACAGCUGGAAACGGCUGCUAAUACCGGAUGAUGACGAAAGUCCAAAGAUUUAUCGCCAGAGGAUGAGCCCGCGUUGGAUUAGGUAGUUGGGGGGGUAAAGGCCUACCAAGCCGACGAUCCAUAGCUGGUCUGAGAGGAUGAUCAGCCACACUGGGACUGAGACACGGCCCAGACUCCUACGGGAGGCAGCAGUGGGGAAUAUUGGACCAUGGGCGCAAGCCUGAUCCAGCAAUGCCGCGUGAGUGAUGAAGGCCCUAGGGUUGUAAAGCUCUUUUACCCGGGAAGAUAAUGACUGUACCGGGAGAAUAAGCCCCGGCUAACUCCGUG
rnacentral:rRNA from 1 species